rnacentral:rRNA from 1 species
UACGUAGGGUGCAAGCGUUGUCCGGAAUUAUUGGGCGUAAAGAGCUCGUAGGCGGUCUGUCACGUCGGCUGUGAAAACUCGGGGCUCAACCCCGAGCCUGCAGUCGAUACGGGCAGACUAGAGUGCGGUAGGGGAGACUGGAAUUCCUGGUGUAGCGGUGAAAUGCGCAGAUAUCGGGAGGAACACCGGUGGCGAAGGCGGCGAUCUGGGUCGAUACUGACGCUGAGGUGCGAAAGCGUGGGGAGCAAACAGG